GUACGAGGGGGGACGAGAAGGGAUGGACACUCGGGGACCGGUCAUAGAAGAAAGAGAAUGCAGCAGUCAUGUGGCAGAAAUCCUUGAUGCCAGGUGGAAGGGGAAUCAGGUGGAGUAUUUGGUAGCGUGGGAAGGAGAACCGGAGUCAGAAAACACGUGGGUAAUGGCCAAAGAUAUCAAUGACGAGGUAUUGAUAGAAAUGUUCCAUCAAAGGUUCCCGCGGAAACCUCAGCCUGUGGAGAGGUUCCGGAGGGAAUACUUUGGGACCACUGAGGAGGAGGAGGAGUUGGAAGGAUUCCCAGAAUCGGAAGGGGAAGGGAGAUGGACUCGGAGGAGGAGGAGUGCUUCGAGACCAGGAACCGCAACAGGUGGAGAGAAGUGUUCGAGACAUCGGAAGAUGAAGGAAGUUCAUUCCGGGGUUUUGCCUCCUCACCGCCCGUAGAGGAGGGGGCGAGAGGGGGUGAAGGGGGCCCUGGAGGGGAGGUGGAUGUCAGGGAACUGCCAUCGGAAGGAAGGGAGGUGAAAGGACUCAGACAGGUUGGAAGAGAUUCAGCAGCUGAAGAGGGAACCAGCAAGGGGAGAGAAGCUGAACUGAGGGAGGUGAAAGGGCUCAGACAGGUUGGAAGAGACUCAGCAGCGGAAGAGGAAACCAGCAGGGGGACAAGCUGAACUGAGGGAAAGGGAGCUGGGGGGAUGGCUCAGAGAUACUUCCAGCGAAAACAGUGGUGAGGUUUCCGGACCUCCUGUAGCGACACCCACUCCUCGCCGGAAACUGUCACGCAGAGAGUCCAGAAGACGUGUUUCCGUUAAGGAGCUUUUAUGUUGGAAGCGAUUACGAAAGCAACCACUGUCGGAAUCUUCUAGUGACUAAGAGGAGCCAUGUCAGAGGGGCUCAGUCACAGACAGAGGUUUGUGGACUUGAACAAACUCUGAGGGAAUACGAUUUUACGCACAAGCAGCUCAUAAUCCCAUCACAGU
rnacentral:lncRNA from 1 species